rnacentral:lncRNA from 1 species
CAACUGUCUUAUCUGCUUUCCAUUUUGCUAAUACCUAAACAACAGGCCUUCUCUUUGCUGACUGUGGGCCUACCAUAGGAACAACUAUCUGUGAUGUUGCUCCACCUAUUUCCUGACUUCUGUCUCAGUCUCUUCCUAUGUUUUCAAGGAGCAAGACUAGCAUCACAAGCGUGAGUUUUGGAGUCAAAGGUCAGAAGUUGUCCUGUCUGAGGACAAGAGCUGCACCAGAUGACUUCUCAAGAUCCCUUUGACCCUUAUGAUUGUCUACUGGCAUAAAUAUAAGGGACACUUUUUUACCCUUGUAAAUUUUCUCUGGGGUCCUGAAGAAGAAAUAAAUUGUAUACAUACCUAUAGAAGAUGGUAUGUCUUUCCACAUUUCAAGGAUCUUCUUGAAGAGUUGUUCAUUUGCUUCCACAGAGAGGGCUUCAGCAUUGAAGAUAUUUCUUCAGGUCUUGCAUACCAGUGAAACUAUUGUCAAUCAACUGGUCUGAAGGACCCCACUGACGCCAACUGGUCUGAAGGACCCCACAAGAGGCUGACUCAUCAAAAAAUGCAGUUUCCACAUCCUGAUGAUUUCAAGGACCAUCAACCUUACCCUGACCAAUCAACAACUCCAAUUAUCCAGCACCUCACCCUCUACAAUCCCCUUAAAAACCCCAUCCCAGAACUCCUCCAGGAGAUGGAUUUGAGGGUCUCCUCCCCACCUCCUCACUCCAUGCCCUGCUGAUCAUUAAACUCUUCUGCUGCAUUCUUGAUGCAUGUGUAAUUGGUCUGUUACUAUGCAGUGGGCAUACGAA